AGUGAACGCCGGCGGUAGGCCUCACACAUGCAAAUUGAACCAGUGGCGGGCGGGUGAGGAAUACACCGGAAUCUACUCCGUCGUGGGGGAUAACGUAGGGAAAAUUACGCUAAUACCGCAUACGAUUGAAUGAGCCGAUGUCGGAUUAGCUAGUUGGCGGGGUAAAGGCCCACCAAGGCGACGAUCCGUAACUGGUCUGAGAGGAUGAUCAGCCACACUGGAACUGAGACACGGUCCAGACUCCUACGGGAGGCAGCAGUGGGGAAUAUUGGACAAUGGGCGCAAGCCUGAUCCAGUCAUACCGCGUGGGUGAAGAAGGCCUUCGGGUUGUAAAGCCCUUUUAUUGGGAAAGCGGUACCCAAAGAAUAAGCACCGGCUAACUUCGUGCCAGCAGCCGCGGUAAUAC
rnacentral:rRNA from 1 species